UACGGAGGGUGCAAGCGUUAUCCGGAUUCACUGGGUUUAAAGGGUGCGUAGGCGGCGCGGUAAGUCGGGUGUGAAAUCUCGGAGCUUAACUCCGAAACUGCAUUCGAUACUGCCGUGCUUGAGGACUGGAGAGGAGACUGGAAUUUACGGUGUAGCGGUGAAAUGCGUAGAUAUCGUAAGGAAGACCAGUGGCGAAGGCGGGUCUCUGGACAGUGCCUGACGCUGAGGCACGAAGGUCAGGGGAGCAAACGGG
rnacentral:rRNA from 1 species